rnacentral:rRNA from 1 species
AAUCGAAGCGCCGACCUCAGAGCAGGUG